GAGUUUGAUCGUGGCUCAGAUUGAACGCUGGCGGCAUGCCUUACACAUGCAAGUCGAACGGCAGCACGGGAGCUUGCUCCUGGUGGCGAGUGGCGAACGGGUGAGUAAUGCAUCGGAACGUAUCCUGGAGUGGGGGAUAACGUAGCGAAAGUUACGCUAAUACCGCAUAUUCUGUGAGCAGGAAAGCGGGGGACCUUCGGGCCUCGCGCUCUUGGAGCGGCCGAUGUCGGAUUAGCUAGUUGGUGAGGUAAAGGCUCACCAAGGCGACGAUCCGUAGCAGGUCUGAGAGGAUGAUCUGCCACACUGGAACUGAGACACGGUCCAGACUCCUACGGGAGGCAGCAGUGGGGAAUAUUGGACAAUGGGCGAAAGCCUGAUCCAGCCAUGCCGCGUGUGUGAAGAAGGUCUUCGGAUUGUAAAGCACUUUAAGUUGGGAGGAAGGGCAGUAAGUUAAUACCUUGCUGUUUUGACGUUACCGACAGAAUAAGCACCGGCUAACUCUGUG
rnacentral:rRNA from 1 species